rnacentral:miRNA from 1 species
AUCUCUCUACAAAAGACAACGACGAAAGCAUUUGCGUACAACUCUACAACCCCGGUACCGUUCCUUGGGAAGUUUACGGGGUUGUAGAGUUGUACGCAAAUGCUUUCGUGUUUACAAACGCGCCGG